rnacentral:rRNA from 1 species
AGCGUUGUUCGGAAUUACUGGGCGUAAAGGGCUCGUAGGCGGCCAACUAAGUCCGACGUGAAAUCCCCAGGCUUAACCUGGGAACUGCGUCGGAUACUGGAUGGCUUGAAUUCGGGAGAGGGAUGCAGAAUUCCAGGUGUAGCGGUGAAAUGCGUAGAUAUCUGGAGGAAUACCGGUGGCGAAGGCGGCAUCCUGGACCGACAUUGACGCUGAUGAGCGAAAGCUAGGGGAGCAAACGGG